UGGCGGGGGAAUUUUGGACAAUGGGCGCAAGCCUGAUCCAGCAAUGCCGCGUGAGUGAAGAAGGCCUUCGGGUUGUAAAGCUCUUUCAGUUGAGAAGAAAAGGUUGUGGUAAAUAAUCACAAUUGAUGACGGUAUCGACAGAAGAAGCACCGGCUAACUACGUGCCAGCAGCCGCGAUAAU
rnacentral:rRNA from 1 species